GGUGAGAUGGCUCAGUGGGUAAGAGCAUCUGACUGCUCUUCCGAAGGUUCAGAGUUCAAAUCCCAGCAACCA
rnacentral:tRNA from 1 species